UACGAAGGGGGCUAGCGUUGUUCGGAAUUACUGGGCGUAAAGCGCGCGCAGGCGGUUCUCCAAGUCAGUGGUGAAAGCCCGGAGCUCAACUCCGGAACUGCCAUUGAAACUGUUGAACUUGAGGACGAGAGAGGUGAGUGGAAUUCCCAGUGUAGAGGUGAAAUUCGUAGAUAUUGGGAAGAACACCGGUGGCGAAGGCGGCGACCUGGUCCUUGACUGACGCUGAGGCGCGAAAGCGUGGGGAGCAAACAGG
rnacentral:rRNA from 1 species